CCACGAAGCUGGAUUCGCUAGUAAUCGCGCAUCAGCCACGGCGCGGUGAAUACGUUCCCGGGCCUUGUACACACCGCCCGUCAAGCCAUGGAAGCCGGGAGUGCCUGAAGUGCGUGACCGCAAGGAGCGUCCUAAGGCAAUACCGGUGACUGGGGCUAAGUCGUAACAAGGUAGC
rnacentral:rRNA from 1 species